rnacentral:rRNA from 1 species
GAUGAACGCUGGCGGCGUGCCUAAUACAUGCAAGUCGAGCGAACAGAUGAGGAGCUUGCUCCUCUGACGUUAGCGGCGGACGGGUGAGUAACACGUGGAUAACCUCCCUAUAAGACUGGGAUAACUUCGGGAAACCGGAGCUAAUACCGGAUAAUAUAUUGAACCGCAUGGUUCAAUAGUGAAAGACGGUUUUGCUGUCACUUCUCGAUGGAUCCGCGCCGCAUUAGCUAGUUGGUAAGGUAACGGCUUACCAAGGCAACGAUGCGUAGCCGACCUGAGAGGGGGAUCGGCCACACUGGAACUGAGACACGGUCCAGACUCCUACGGGAGGCAGCAGUAGGGAAUCUUCCGCAAUGGGCGAAAGCCUGACGGAGCAACGCCGCGUGAGUGAUGAAGGUCUUCGGAUCGUAAAACUCUGUUAUGAGGGAAGAACAAAUGUGUAAGUAACUAUGCACGUCUUGACGGUACCUAAUCAGAAAGCCACGGCUAACUACGUG